ensembl:misc_RNA Y_RNA Y RNA
GGCUGGUCCCACUGCAGUGGUGUUUACAACUGAUCACAACCAGUUACAGAUUUCUCUCCAUUCCUACUGCUUCAUUUGACUAGCCUUAA